GGCUGCCUAAAACCCUCCUUGAGUACACUAGGAACUACCCCUACAACUAUAAAAACCACCUCCAGUAUAGGGAUGAACUGAUCUAAUAGGGAAAACACCCUGAGAUGAAAUAACAAUCACCCCACACUAGGGAACUAUAGCAUAAAAUGAUCAAAAGACUCACAACCAUAACAUAUCCUCUCAGAUAAACCAGAACCAGCAGAUUUAACUAGCC
rnacentral:lncRNA from 1 species